UAGAGAUCGAGGGUUGCAGACCAAUACCAGCUCGACAAAGACGAUUCGUUUGAUCUGGUCUCGGUGUUAUCGAAUCUUCGAAACUGAAACCAUUUGCUCGUGGAAUGCUUCGAUGUCUUUUUUCUGUCUGUAUUAUUAAACUGAAUCGUAUUGACUAGUAAGCCAACCAAAUGCACGAAAUAUGAAUCGAUUUCAAUCUGAAGAGUCAAUAACGGAUGAUCUCAUGCUAACCCGUCAAUUUGGGGAUCAAAUUCGAAAUUAGCUCCUAUGAAUGCACGAAAUAUGGCAUCUUUCCUUCCAACCGGUUUGAAACUGAAGUCCUUAAUAGUUAGUAAAAUACGAUGUACAAUGCGGAGUUUCAUACGUCAUUUUAACAUAACAGUAUGUUUAAAAUUUCGGCACCGAUUAUAAAAAUGAUUAAAAUAUCCAUUCCAAUUCCUUAAAAUACAUGUUUAAUACGUGAAAUAUCAAAAUAAAUGUGGAAAAUGUAAACGGCUCCAUAUAGUAUGAGCGUGUAUUGUAGAACUAACAAACUAACGUGAAUGGAUGAUCAACUGAGCAGUGUGAGGUAUGAUCCCUUCAAGCCACAGCUUAGCAUGUCGCCUCACAUGGUCUUCCGCCUCCUGUUCCUCCCUCCACGUUCCAUAGUAAGUAGCUUUCCAUGGAUAAGUAGUUUGAUAACUUGUGUUUAUGAUAACAGUCUCGAGCGAUACGGCACUCUCGAUGACACAAGAGAUGAACUCGUCCUCAUACUUCAACCCGCUAGACCCUGCAACUUCCAACACCUUUAGGUGCUCGAGAAUGGCACCAGUACCAUUGUCAACACGACGUACCUUUGUGAUGUCAUUACCACUCCGCCCCUGUGCAAACCCUCGUAUUCUUUCAUAAAUCUGCACAUUCACAGCCCUACAAGAUCAUCACUCCCGUUCUAGCAAGCAGAAACAUAAAGGGUCGUUUGGAUGCAGUUAUUUUGACCCAAAAUACAUCAUCUUUUGCAGAUAGGACCAGAAAUUGAAGAAAAUCUAAUGAACUUACCCGGAGUACAAAUUUUUCCAGGUUAGGUGCUGCAGCAUCAGUCGGGGGAACCAAUCCAACCAGAGAACACAGAGAAUCAUAUCUAGUGAGCUUCAUAUGGUAUGCUAUCUCGAGUUCUCGAAGACAAACUAGUUUAUAGAUAGGGUUUAGAAGCUCUUGAAGUUCCUGCACAUAAACAUCAACCUCUAUAGGCAUCAAAUUCAAUAAAAAAGUCAUAUCUUAGAGUGAGUAAGACAAUAGCAGCAUAAUACCAGAUCAAAAACAACCAUCAUCAGACCUCUCUGCCACCUCAUUCUCAGAACACUCGAAAGCAUGUCAGUUUAAGCAUGGAAGGUUACGAAUGGUGAUUUCAUCAACCAUCCGAAACCUCUUGAGUGAAACCAACGAUACAACAUCAUAUAACUCAAUCUUCUCGAUAUCGUUAACAGACAACUCCAAAUGUUUCAACUUUAAGCAAGGACCAACAACUUUAACCUACUUCAACCCCGUCACGUGGUCCAGCGUUAGCGUUUUGAGAACCGGGCAGUAAUUCGAUGCAAAGAGCCUCUCCAGAACUUCCCCCUGUCAUCCUGACGGAUCUUAGACACAGACUUGAGCGAAACAAACUUCAAGUCUCUGCAUUGAAAAUUUUACAUCUUCCGUACUGUGUUAGGACAUCCAAGUGAUUUAUUGAAGUCCAACUUCAGCUUCUCUGACUUUCUAACUUGACAGGGCGAAAGAGAGACACCAAUUCACAAACCGCUUGUUCGUUUUGGUGAGGUCGAGCUUGAGUUAGAACUCCUCCAAGCUCUUGCCUUUGUUGGAUCGAACGGCCUUUGCGACGUUUCGAGCGUAUUCAGACUUUACGCUGGGAGGGAGCCCAAAGUAUAACCUAACUGGGAAAAAUGAGCCAUUGAAUUGAAGAGAGGGAAUCAAUGCCCACAAGUACCUCCAUCGAAUCGAAAGGAUGCUGGUAACGGCGGGUUCUUCCAGUGUCAGGCGAGAUAGUAUAAGCAAGAUCACAUCAUUCGGAAGCUUGCUGAUUCCUUGUUAGAGUCCCUGGGGUUCCUCUUCCUCUUCUCCUGCAUCUUCUUCUGUCGUUCUCCUCUGAUGAUCGCCAGCUCGGCAAUUGUUGAACGACGGAGAUACUGGCAGUCCGAUGAAUUGACAAUUGCUCGAUCCGGCGUCUAUCUUCGCCGGAAUACUUGGAUUUAGAACGUUGGACUCUCUUUAAUUCAUGGGAGUUGGGGAUUCUUCCGAAUUCUAGUAGAGUUCGGAUUUCUAGUGCAGUCACUUUUUUUAGCCGUUUGGUCACGUUAAUUUAUAACCAUUGCAAUGCAGUCACUUAGUCGAUUAAUUUUCUCUUCAACCAACUUAAUCUUUAACCGAGUUGUUAUUGGGUUGAUUGAUUAACCAGUCAGUCAAAGCGAUGUAAACAUUAACAAAAUAUGAAGAUAGUCUGUUAAAAUUAAUUUCGGCUAUAUUUUUCAAACUCGUACCAUUUCCAUGAGUGGUUCAUGAUCUAAUCGGUUAGAUGGUUCGAGCCAGUACAAUAUGAACUAUUAUGCAUAUGCUUGCUUCUGUUGUGACAAAUUAUGUACAGAGGCAAAGUGAAGCUUCAGCAGCAUAAACAAACCCGAAAAGUGUAUCUCAGUUCCAUCUUUUUGAAUUCUUCGACCCUUUCGACUUCUGCUUUGCAGCGUGGAACGCCUGCACUUUCUGCUUCUUCCUUGCUUCCUUCUCGGCCUGAAAAAUUGUCACACAAACGUACGUUAAAACUUUCAAAACUGUUAGUUUCACCGGUUCAAUCUUUCUAUAUGGUUUUAAACGUUUAUAUACCUUGGACAUCUUCGAUUUCGCCUUCACUUUGGGAGCUUUGUCCUCGAUCAUCGCCUCCCGCUCGAGCUCUUUCUCCCUUGCUUCGAGGUUCUUCUCCAAGUAAUACUGUGCCAAAAAGUUUUCAACAUUCUUUUUAGAGCACUGGUUUUUACUGUCGACGAAAAAUCGUGGUUUGAAACUUACGUUGUAAUCGCCAUUGUAGUCCUGUAGCUUGCAAUCUUUAACUUCGAUUACUCUGUUGACGAUCUGCUUUAUGAAGUAACGAUCGUGAGACACGGUGAUGACCGUGCCUGUGUACUCUGCUAUAGCUUCCUGUUGAAAAACAAUCACAUUACUGAUUUGUGUUCUUGGAGUUCAAAAUUAUGUAUCAUAAACGGUAAGAGGAACCAAACCUCGAGCAUUUCUUUCGAAGGUAUAUCCAAGUGGUUGGUAGGUUCGUCAAGGACUAGCAAAGUUGAAGGCUUCACCAUGAACUUACAGAAUGCCAGACGUGCCUGACAAGAAAGCCAUGAAUAAACAGUCAUGUAACGAAUUUUGUAACAAUAGUUCACAAAGAAUUUCGGCCUUAGUUACCUUCUCGCCACCACUCAAAAGAGAGACCUUUCUAUCAAGCAUAUCAGCCUUGAAGUUACAACGUCCAAGGAGACCUUUAAUGUCAUCGAGUCUCCAAUCUUCUGCAACAUCUGCCACUGUGUCGAGCACCGAUUUUUCGAGAUCAAGAGCCUCAGCCUAACCAAACCCCAGGUAAGAUGAACGGUGUCAACAUGAAAGAAGCAUAAAGGAUGACUAGGAACAUUGAAAUUUCUUUGAAAUGACAAACCUGGUUCUGCUCAAAGUAGUUUGGAAGUACAUUGUGCUCCCCGAGUACGAUUUCGCCACCUGUCGGCUUCUCCAUCCCCAUUAUCACUCUCAGUAAAGUACUCUUCCCACAUCCGUUCGGUCCAACAAUGGCGAUCUUCUCUCCUCGCUCUACCGAUAGAUUUGUGUUCUUGAACAACGUCUGAUUCACAAAUUGCACAGAAGCCGUUUAGGUGAUAUAAUUUUGCAGAACAAAAAAGGUGACUUAUUUCGUAAGGUAUCUAUCCCCACCUGAUCCCCAUACCGGAAGUCAAGGUUCUUGAUUUCAACUACAGACCUUCCGCUUCUCCCACGUUCUGGGAAACUGAUCUUCAUUUGCUUGCGUUGAAACGGCUUCUCUAUCUGGUCCUCUUCUUUCAGUCUCUCCAGUUUCUGUUAUAAGCAAAAUGUUGAGUAAACGACACAUUGUAUGGUUGUAUCCCAAACUUUGGAAGGAAGAAAAUAUCGGUUUCCAGGAUCAGAUUCUACCUUCUCUGCAGUAGAAGCACGGCCAGAGUUAGCACCUGCUCCCAACCUACUUAUCAGUUCCCUAGUAUGCUCAAUCUCCUUCUGCUGCUUCUCCCAUGCAGCAUUCUGAGCUUCGAUCCAAGUAGCUUUUGAGAUUAUGUACUGGGAAUAGUUCCCAUCGAAUGUGCGAGACACUCCCAUUUCGGUUUCCACGAUCUUAGUACACAGUUGAUCCAGGAAGGCCCUGUCAUGGGAAAUGAUCACCAUUGGCACAUCUUGUGUCUGCAGAUAGCUUUCAAGCCACUCAAUCGUGUCAAGGUCGAGAUGAUUCGUGGGCUCAUCGAGGAGUAACAAAUCCGGCUCCUGCCAUCAGAACGACAAGCCUAAAUUAUGAACCACUAUCUAAGAAAUUUAAGAUAAUAAUUAAUCCAGAUUUUAGCUGAUUUCACAGACCACCGAGAUGAACAAUCAACAAAGACAACAACUUUGUUCAUGAUUACCUGCAAAAGAAUCUUUCCAAGAGACAUCCUCAUCUGCCACCCACCACUAAAAGAAGCCACCAACCGAUCACCAUCCUCGCUGGAGAAUCCAAGCUCCGGCAUCAACUUACUGACCUUAGCAUCAACGACAUCCGAGUUCAAACCCUGAGCUCUCGUCUGCAGCAGAUCAAACUCAUCCAACAGCCUCCCCAUCAGGUCCAAAUCAUCCACCGACCUCUCGAUCGCCUUCUGAACUUUCUCCAGCUUCUCCUUAACCUCCAUCUCCUCUUUGAAAGCACUCAGAAACUCCUCCCUAACGGUUUUGGUGAGCGAUACCUCAAACUCCUGGCUCAAGAACGCAAUCUUCAUGUUCGGUUUCGCCUUGAUCACGUUCCCACUGUCCGCCUCUUCCUAGUCAAUGAAUCAUGGUUAGUCCAAGAUCUAAAAUUCUAUGCAAAAAGAAAUCAAAAAGCUCUAUAGAAGUUUUGUCAUUAAGCAUGUACGGAGAUUUCACAAACAUAUUCUCGAAAACAAGCUAAAAUUUUCAAAAUUGAAGCUUUAGCGGCGUUUAUUUUCGAAUUUCUCUCUGUAAGCUUUAAAACUCACUCCAAACUUAGAUUUUUCCCACAAUCUCUGACCAUCCUGGUUCACCAGUAACCAUCAAUUCAAUCAUCAUUUUGUUUUGACUACCUGGCCAGUGAUGAUCCUCAACUGAGUAGUUUUCCCAGCUCCAUUAACACCAACUAACCCUACUUUCUCCCCUUUCUUGACUUCCCAGCUGACAUCCUUCAACACCGUCGUCCCUUUAUAACUCUUACUAAUAUUCUCAAGCUUAACACCUGAAGUAAUCCCGGAAGCUCCCGCAGAAGCCUUGUUCUGAUUCUGAUUACUACUACUCCUCUGCUCGUCAGCCGAAUUGUUCGAAGAGAACAGCGAUUCGAUGUCUUCAAUAUCAACUUUUUCUUCGACGGCGGAGGUGGACAGCCUUGCUGAUGCACUGAGCUUGAGAUUCCGCCUGGUUGAGCUGGGGAGGAUUGCCGCCGUUCGAGCUUGUUUGUGGAGAUUGGAAUUCGGCGGGAGGGAGGUGGGGCAGAGUGUGGAGUAGUGGAGGUGGUGGUGGAGCUUCGAGGAGAGUUCCAUGGCGGAGAUACUGAGGUGGGAUUUUAUUUUGCUGUUUGGUUUCUGAGAAAAUCGGUGGAUUCUCUCAGCAUCCCAUGGGAAAGUUUACAGCUUUUGAUGUUUCUGUGGUGUGAGGAAGAGGAGCUGAUAAGAGGUGGAAGAACAAACAGAGAGAAAGAAGAUAGAAAACAAGAUUAAAAUUGAAAAAUCAGAAAUGGAAAUUAGGAAUUUAUUUUUUCUCCUUUGUUUAAUUGUUUUUUAUAAUAAUUUUCAACAUAAAAUUUAGAUUAAUUAGAUCAUCAUUAAUGUCAUUAAUCGAUUCAAACCAGACCGACUAAUAAGAAAAAAUAAAAAUUGAAAAUCAUGAAUUAUAAUUUUGUUUUUACUAAAAUCUUUUGAGAGAUACCAAAAUAGCAUCCUAAAUGAAUUAUAACUCAUAAAAUAUGAACACAAAUUGUUGUUUAAAGUGAAAUAUCAUUAAAUAUUCAAGUAACUUUCAAUUAUAAUCGGCCAUAAUUUGUUAUUUGAAUACUAUAAAUUAUCUAAGAAAAUGAAAUAUCUUGACUCAUAUUUUAUUGGUUACUAACUUGAAUUUGAGUUUUUGUAUAUAAAUAAAAAUUCAAGUAAAUUUCCACGGUAAUAAACUAAGGUAUAAAUAAUUGUUAUAUAUAUAAUAUAUAUUUAUGCGAUAAAUAAUUGUUAGAAAUAUACCAUUCAAUUUGUAUUCGAUGUGUAAAUAAAAUGUAUAAUUAGUUUACAAAAUACAGAAACGAGUAGUAUUUAUUGUGUGGCCAUAAUUAAAAUCAGAUAUCGGCUGACUAUACAUUUGUGGCAAGACUUUCUUCUCAAAUUCCAGUCCACUUCAGUCCCUCCCAGUUCGACACGUGUGGUGUAGUGAGCGGAGCUGGAUAUUCCACGUGUCGACAACCCACAUCCACAAUAAAUAUUAUGGACCCAGUUCCUUGCAUGUGUGGGCUGGAUGGCUUCUCCAAUGGGCCACACUACCGUCUUUAUUUGGGCUGGGCGAAGUUCAUCUACUCAUCCCAUGACUUUCCGAGAAUUGUUCGGGAGAUACGAAAGAGUUUAUUUUAUUACAAAGAAAACGUUAUUAAUUAUUGAAAGAAAGAUACAAAUUUAUAGCUGUUGUUAGUUGUGUAACAAGUAAAUAAUCUCGUCAUAAUUGUACUACUCAUAACAUAACCAAUCAUAAUGAAGACAUAAGAGGAGAUCGUCAAUUUUGCAUCCCUUUUACGUCCACCAUCAAAAUUCAAUUGUAUGAGAAACAAAUGUGACAUAUAUUCAUAUAAAAAUACGUAAAAAUGAAGGAAAAGCCCACUAGAUGAAUAACUUGUACUUGGAACAUGAAAAGAGAGACCUUCAGAGUUACAAUCAGACAAAUCAAAUCAUCGACAUCUUAACUUAAGGUCCAACAGANNNNNNNNNNNNNNNNNNNNNNNNNNNNNNNNNNNNNNNNNNNNNNNNNNNNNNNNNNNNNNNNNNNNNNNNNNNNNGUUUUCAUCCACAUUAUUCUUAUUAUCAUUAAUCCUAAAAAACUUGAUGAAGAGAAAAAAUUAACACGUAAUAAGCUUUAACAUUAAUUAUUUAUUAAUUAACAAUAUAUUAAUUUAUUUUGUGGUUAGGAAACCUUAUACACAUCACACCUAACCUUCAUUUACAAUUAUUUUAUUUUAAAAAAUAUCAAAUAUAUUAUAACGACACUAAUAAACCAAACAGAAUUAUAAAUAGAAAAUAAACAUAAACAAAAAAAUAUCUCAUAUUCAAUACCAUCAAAAUAAUCUGCUACAUCAUUAUCUUCACGAUAAACAUAUAUAAACUUAAUACUAACUUAUCAACUUGUGAGUAUACAAACUUUUUGGAGCAUAGCUACAAACUUGUUUACCGUAAUGAGAAUCUAAAAUGUUCUUGCCGUAGCAACUAGAAUACCCAGUCCUUCGAAGUUUGAAAUGUCUAGCAGUUAUGGCUGACCAGAAUACCCACUAGCUCACAAGAAAGCCAAAGAGAGUAGAGAAAGUGGGUGCCUUUCUCAGCCACGUCAAAACGCGCUGUCGUCUUGCUGGAUGAAUCAUCUUUCUCUCUGUUCUCUCUGGUUCUCUCUGUUCUCUUUCUCUGUUCAAUUAUAUAAUAUUUCUUCCUAUCUAUAUAAAGCAAAACCCCCAGUGAAAUCAUUCCUCUCUUCACUCAUUGGUUUGUUUUGAUUACUUUGUUUCAUUCUCUCUCUCUACUGGUUGAAGAAGAAGGUAUACUUUCGGCUGGUUUCAUCUACAGUCUCUUCUCUAAUGGAAGAUCACAAGGAGGUAAAGCUAACUCUCUCUGAUCUUACUGUGUUAUGAAGGGGUUUUGAUUCAUGGGUUCUGGUUGAUUUUUCAUUAUGGUUUCCCUGAAGUUGUAACUGGUUAUAUUGUUUCUUCAUUAGCUCUCUCUUUGAUUCUCUAAUGAUUGAUUAUCUUCUUCCCGGUGAAGAGAAAAAGGAUGGAUUUUGAUUCCUGGGUUUGGUUCACUUGCUUGAUUCUGGUUCCGGGUUUUGGUUAAUAUUCAUGGUUUUCUAUUGGUUGAUUCAUGAUUGUUUCCCUGAAAUUUGCAACUGUUUGCAUGUAUUGACUUUUCAUUAAAUUUCUCUUUGAGUUCUCUAAUGAUUCAUUAUCUUCCUUGUGAAGGGGAAAAGGAGGGAUCUUGAUUGAUUCCUGGGUUUGGUUCACUUGCUUGGUUAUGCUUCUGGUUUUUGGUUCACUUUUCAAGGUUUCAUAUUGGUCGAUUCAUGAUUGCUUCCCUGAAGUUGACUUCAUUAACCCUGUCUUUGAAACCUCUAAUGAGUAUUAAUUCUCUUCCUUGUGAAAGGAAAAUGAAGGGAUUUUGAAUUCAUGGGUUUGGUUCAUUUGCUUGAUUCUUGGUUCUGAGUUUUGGUCCAUUCUCAAAGAUUUGUUCUAUUGAUUGGUGCAUGAUUGUUCCCCUGAAGUUGACUUCAUUAACUCCCUCUUUGAAACCUCCUAUGAUUCUCUUCCUUGUGAGGGGAAAAGGAAGGAUUUUGAAUUCAUGGGUUUGGUUCAUUUGGUUGAUUGUGGUUCUCAGUUUUGGUUCAUUUUCGAAGAUUUUUUCUGUUGGUUGGUGCAUGAUUGUUUCUUUAAGUAACUUCAUAAGGAGUUAAUUUAACUCUCUGAGUUCUCUAGUGAUUCUCUUGUUUGUGAAUGGAAAAGGAGGGGUUUUGAUUCAUGGGUUUGGUUCAUUUCCUUGGUUCUGGUUCUGGGUUUUGGUUCAUUUUCAAGGUUCAUAUUGGUUGAUUUAUGAUUGUUUCCUGAAGCUAUAACUGUUAGUACUGUUGUUCAUUAGCCUAAUAUACUUGUGAAAGAAGUCUUGUUACUCACUGAUCUACCACGGAUUUGGAUUACCGAGUUAAUCGAAUUGUAGGUUCAUCAUGCCUAAAUUAUUAUUUGUAUCAGACUGGAUUGAAACUGUAUCGAGUUGGUGGCUUCAUUUUCUUGUUGUGCAUGUGAAAAACCACUACAUCAUUACAAAUUCGAUUCGAGUUAUUGAAUUGUAAUGGUUUUUCUUAACUCAAGUUUUUUCAAGAGGUCCAUAAUUGGUGUUUAUAACAUGUCUUAACCCGUGUCGUCCCAGAGGAAUGCACCAUGGCUAUCAGUGCCGCAAUUCGGAGACUGGGAUCAGAAGGGUCCAUUGCCUGACUACUCCAUGGAUUUCUCCAAGAUCCGAGAAAUGAGGAAGCAGAACAAAACAAGGGCAAGCCUUGGCAAUGAGGAAGAGUUCAUCAACCCAACAGCAAACUUGCCCAAAGCCACCACUCCUCCUACCCACCACCACAACAACAACAAUGGCAACCAUGAUCAACAACACUCCCCCAAUGUAAGUUCCUUAUCUCGAUGAUCGAGUCAGCGAGAUCAAUGGUUUUUUUUCUUUGUCCUAUACUAAUUAUAGUUCGAACAUAGUUAUUGUUACUUGAUAGUGAAUAAUAUAAAUAUCAAUCAGAGUCAUUUUCCAACAAUUUGAGUUAUUGGGAUACAAUGGUUCUUGACAUUACUUUCACACUGUACCCACCGUGAAACACUCGUUAUAUAUCGAAUUGUCUACUGGAUCGAUACGGAAUAUCGAGUUAUCCGAUUCAAACACAAUGAUUUUCUAGUUGUGUGUGACAGAUGUAUAUGAGAUGUAUAUGGUACAAAAAUACAGCUGUGCGUGAGAGAGAGGGGAUGAGUUGAGGGAAUUUAAUUGGUAGGUGGACAACAAGGAAUUAUACAUAGAACUAGAAGAAUAUUAAUGAUCAAUUUGUCGUAUGGGGAAUUUGGUUGCCAUGUGCCUAGAUUUGUAUUGGGGAAAAAUAUUAUUAUUUGAUUCCUUAUGGGAAUAAGUUUACACUUUUGCUUAAAAUAGAUUUCUUGUUUUUUAAGGCGGUUUGAAUGAGAGAUUUUGAUGGAUGAUUUGAAGAGGUUUAUGUCGUCUUCGAAAAAGAUAGUUAUACCUAUGUAUCAGACCGAUCUCCACCUUCGAUGAACCAAUAUUUUCAAGAUGAUCACCAUUAGUGUUGAAAUGUGAUGUAACUAAUAUGGUUUUCUGACUAUGUACUCUUUGUUUUUUGUUCUUGAAACAGACAAGGAGGAGCUUCUUCAGUUACUUCAACUGCUGUGUAAAAGCUUGAGAUAUGGAAUUAGUGUUGAUUGAUGAAUUGUGAAGGAUCUUUAAUUAAUCUCUUUUUGUUUCAUGAUUGAUGCCCUUAAUUAGUAUAUUCAAUGUAGCACAAGAAUUUAUCUUAAUAAUAUUUUUAUUUGUUAAACCAACGAAACAAAACUUAAGCAUCGGCUCAAAUCACGAUAUCUGUCUCAAUAUGGCUCAAAAAAUAUGAGGGAUCUUUUCUCGCCACUGGAUAGGCAUCUUUUUAGCAUCACGCCUGCAUCUCAGUUAGGCCGUGGCACCACUCUUGGAGUCGGCGCCCUUGCAUUCGGAGUGGCGGCUGAUCUGCCGUCCGAAUGGUAGCAAGGGUAGAUGGUGUAUAUAGUCUAAGCAGUGGUGAGAUCAAAUAAGAAGAAUGCAGCAACCAGUGACAAAAUUGCCCAUGGGUUCCUGAAGUAAGUGUGGAUCAAGUUAGCCCUCCAUUCAUUCCAUGGCUUCCUGCAAUAGGCACUCACUCUCUUGUGCACCACCUCCAAGCUUUGUUGCUCCCUGCCGCGUUCUGGAUGAUCCCUUUCGAGGUUAGGAGCGCUAUGUCUCGCUCGCUGUCGAUGUUCUUGUCCAUGAAGAAGAUGUAGGACGCAACCUUUUUCGAAAAAACAAAGAGAUCAAGCUUAUAUUUAAUAUUUAUAGGUCAAUUGAUAUUUACUAUAAGAAAAUGCAGUUUCUCAUAGUAAAUAUGGUUUAGAUUAAUGAACUAAUACUCGAUGGGAAUUUUGGUUAAGCUAUACCUCAUUCCCAGCGCCUACAUGAAACCGCUCGUAGGCGAUCAAGUUGAGGAAGAGAAACUCUGUGGUGUCGUCGACCACAAUCACGGGAAGUCUGAGAACACCUCGUUUGAACGAGAUAUCUUUCAGGCUUCCAGUUCUGCUCCUUUUGAAUUGGAUUCCAGCUUCGUGCACCUCGGUCCGUCCUCCGCUUUAUAGCGCGGGGGACGAUGACGGCGACGAGGUCUCAUGUUUUUCGAGCGGAUCUCGUCCUUGUGAAGGAGGCUCUUCCUGUAAGCGUCGAGCACGUGCUUGCAUUUGCCUAGACGGGCUACAGGCGUGUUUGGUAGGCAGAAUUUUUGUAUGAGCUUGUUCACAAACUCCUCAUCCUAGAAUAAAAACGAAAGAGAUCUUAGUUAUUUUUUAUUACUUCUAUUUUUUCUGUCAAAAGCUAUUUAUGAACAACAAUACUAAUAAAUCGGACAUGUACGCCAUUUUACCUUGGUACCAUUGCUCUCAACAGCAAUCAACUUGUCAAGUAGCACCAUAGGCAGCUGAUUCUCAAGGUCACGCCUUAUAUAGGGCAUAAUGUAGAGCCUCCCAUGGCCGCUGAAAACCGGGUCAUUCGUCGCAUAAUCAUCCAACGUAUGAGUACCAAUCCGCAAAACCUCCAACAUAAAACACCCAUCAACAAUCAUCAUCUUCAAACCCCUCUUCGGUGUCCUCCUCCUUCCACGCCCCUUCAAGAGGGCUUUACAUGUCUCGUAGCACCCCAACCACCUCGAUGACAGCAUCGACAAAGGCCUGGAGAAGCUUGUUCGACCUUGUCAAGAAAUGGAGCAAUGCUCGUUGCUUGUGUUGCUCCAUGGGCAGGAGGUGUCACGACCAUGGUGGUAAGGGCCAAAGGAGACUGAUUGUGGCUUGUAGGCCUUUUUGUUUAGGUCCAUGACACAUAGCGGGAUCUUGUAGAUGGAUUGUUUCUUCUAGUGAUAUUCCUGAUCUUCUGUCGGGUCGAUUGUCCCGUUGGCUUGGAGCUUUUCGGUGAUUUCAAUUACCCAAUUUGUUGCUGCCAUUGGGUAGAUGGAAAUGGUUUUUUAGAUUGCUAAGUGCAAUGGUUUUCUGUAAAGCUAUGAAGUUAGUGGUUAUAUAUGGCAAUCGUUGGAUGCUUAAAUGUAAGUGUGUUCUAUGAGACAUGAGUUGCUUGGGAUUGAAGGGAACUAAUUAAAGUAUUGAUUAAUUAAUCAUUCAAAUAAAAUAAUUAAAAGUUGAUUAGUUUGCAUUUGGGGUUGGGUUAGGAAUUGUUUCCUUAAACAAUCCAGUACUCGUUUGUAUGGAUCCAACUUGUUAAAUUUCUCGAUUCCUAGGUUUCUGUUUCGAGUAUUGAAAUUCCAUAAUCGUAUUAAAAAUCUCAAAUAAGAUUCAGGUUCGAAAACAAGUCUUUUAAUUCGGGAUUUAGGUUUUCAGGCCAUCAAAAAUUCAAAAUCAAAAUCCAUUUUUCUUCUCGAUUUUCACCACAUUGUCUAUGUGAAAUCGAGUAUUACCCGCAAGUAACAAGUCGGGUCGGGACGGGCCGGAUCGGUUCAAACAUGUUGGACCCAAAUUGCAUACCACAGAACUGAGUAAAACUAGGCCCAAUUAAAACCUGGACCGAAACAAAUAUUCAAACUAGGCGCCCAAAUUAUUUGUCGGCCCAAAUACUCUGCACUUUCUAUUUUUUCUGCUGUGUCCUCUUCAGCCACUAAAACCUCCACAGAGUUCUUCUUCAGCUCGUCGUCUUCCGUUCAGAGCUCGAACUCUCUCAUCCGCCAUCGCCGCAAUCUCGAAGCAAACCGGAGCUGGUUCGGAAGGAAAUAACAAUCAAAGCGUCCAAAUAUGGCGACCGUGAUGCAGAAGAUCAAGGACAUCGAAGAUGAGGUGAAUACUUUUUUUUCUCCCGAUUGUCUCCUAUGGUCUGGAUUAACUGGCGUGGAUACUGGAUAACACUCGUCUAAUAUGUUUGUGUUUGCAGAUGGCCAAGACGCAGAAGAAUAAGGCCACAGCUCAUCAUCUUGGCUUGCUCAAGGUAAAUCGAAUUUGGGACGACAUGUUUAGUGCUAGGUUUUGUUGGAGCAGUAAUCCGUAGCUACGGUUUAGUUUCAUUUGAUUUUAUGUGAAUUUAUUAUAACUAGGAAAUGGAUCGGUGAGCUUGAGAGAAUUGUUCUUGGGAAAAAAUGACAGUGUGUUGUGCUGGCUAACGAUUUGGUUUCAUUAAAGAUUAUGUGUGGAAGCUAAGGAGUAGUUAAAGUCCUUUAGCUAGCAAAUAGAUUGGUGAGAUUGAGGAAACCUGGCACUGUCCUAUUGUGCUGUCUGUAUUGGAAUUGGCGAUCAUUUCGUUUCAUUGAAGGUCUUGUUUGGAAGUGAAGGAGUAUUGAGUUGUUAUAGUUAGCAAAUGGACUGACGAGGUUGAGAAAAUGGUUCCUGCUGUGUCUGGUCUGUGCUGUUCGGAAUCAAUGAGAAGAAAAACCUGUUUGUGUGGGAUGUAUUACUAGUCCACUGAACGUUUAUGUUUUUUGAUUGUGUUAUUUGCCCUUAGGCUAAGCUUGCAAAGCUCCGUAGAGAGCUGCUUGAACCUCCAUCGAAGGGAGGUGGCGGUGCUGGGGCAGGUUUUGACGUUACUAAAAGUGGAGAUGCUAGGGUUGGUCUCGUGGGGUUUCCAUCUGUUGGGAAGUCCACCCUUUUGAAUAAGCUAACUGGGACGUUUUCGGAGGUAUGGUUUUGUUUCUGUUCUACUUACAUUUCAACCGGUGAGGCUUAGCAGAUUGUAUGGUUAUUUAACUUAUUUUGAUUGUACCUUAUACUGUCGGACGUUCAAAGGCUUGAAUUUUUAAUUCUGUGACUUACAGGUUGCUUCCUAUGAAUUUACAACUUUGACUUGCAUCCCUGGUGUUAUUGUGUAUAGAGGAGCCAAGAUUCAGGUAACAUUGUAUUCUGAGUUUCUUGUUGAAUAGCUUGCAUAUGGUCACUAAUUGUGGGAAGGAUUUGCUGAGUUUCUGAUUGUUUGCUAUUUUCUUACCUUUUCUUGUUGGAAAAAUAAUAAAUACAUGAACAUAUCGCUGUUGUCAUUUUCAGUUGCUAGAUCUCCCUGGAAUUAUUGAGGGUGCUAAGGAUGGAAAGGGUCGUGGAAGGCAGGUAAACUGAUAAUUAGCUCUUUUAUAUUUUCGGUGAUCAUUCUAUCUGUAGCUAACUAUUGUUCAGUCUUCAGUGUACAUGUUCUUAUUUAGUGUUUGUAUUUGUAGUUAAGUUUGUUCAUUAAGAAUCCUAAGAGUAUUAAGUUUCAAACCUUUUAAUGAUUUCCAAUACUGAAUGGAGCUUGGAGGAUUGCAGAGAACAAAUCAUUUUGUCUGGUUAAUUUGCUAUAGAUUUAGUAAAUCAGUAGCAGUUUCUGCUUCGUUUUUGGAUUGAUAUGUAGUUUUAUGUGCUAAUGGUCCUCAUAUCAUGUUGGAUGGAUAUGUGAUAUAACUAAAAGUUUAUUGCAGGUUAUUAGUACUGCCAGGACUUGUAACUGUAUCAUAAUUGUUCUUGAUGCCAUAAAGCCAAUUACUCAUAAGCGUCUCAUUGAAAAAGAGCUUGAGGGAUUCGGAAUCAGGUAACGUCCAUUUAUCCGUUAAUUUCAUGCUCUUGUGUAUUACUAGUGUUUUGACAUCUGAAAAUGCGCUUUCGUCCUUUCGGUAAACAGGCUGAACAAGGAGCCACCAAAUCUAACAUUCAGAAAGAAGGAGAAGGGUGGAAUCAAUUUUACAUCAACAGUUACCAACACAAAUCUUGAUCUUGAAACUGUCAAGGCGAUUUGCAGUGAAUACCGAAUUCAUAAUGCUGAUGUCACUUUGAGGUAUGAUGCGACAGCUGAUGAUCUGAUCGAUGUCAUUGAGGGGAGUAGGGUGUAUAUACCGUGCAUCUAUGCUCUGAACAAGAUUGAUCAGAUCACUCUCGAAGAGCUGGAAAUUUUAGACAAACUUCCCCACUACUGCCCAGUCAGGUAAAAUCUCAUUUUCAGCGCUGCCUUCCCCUUUCGUGUUCUGCCGUUCCCUACAUAUAUGAUUCAUCCAGUUUGUAUGUAACUCGACAUUCGAUUAUAUGAUCCAUUCGAUAGCUAAUGUAUCACUAUGUAUGUGAAAAUGCAUUUAUUUCUCAGUGCUCACCUGGAGUGGAACUUGGACGGGUUGCUGGACAAGAUAUGGGAGUAUCUCGACCUGACUCGUAUUUAUACAAAGCCGAAAGGUAUGAAUCCAGAUUACGAAGACCCCGUCAUUCUGUCAUCUAAAAGACGCUCCGUCGAGGACUUCUGCGACCGGAUUCACAAGGACAUGUCUAAACAAUUCAAGUAGUGAGUAUCCCUACUUCCUUGCUCGAAAUUCGACCCUGAAUAAUGCACUUUGCCCCUGUCUCGAAGCUUUACGACCCAGUCUAUCGCUACUCAUCAACAACUUUUGAAUGUUUGCAGUGCAUUAGUAUGGGGAUCGAGCGCCAAGCACAAACCUCAAAGAGUCGGAAAGGUAAUACUUUUCAUGUUUCGGAAACCACGGCAUCAAGCAUUGGUUCUUUGGCUGUUGUCUAUCAUCUUGCUGACCGAUUUUUUCGGGAAACAUGACAGGAACACGAGCUCGAGGAUGAGGACGUGGUGCAGAUCAUCAAGAAGGUGUGAGGAAUGCAUGAUGCAACAAUUUCAUCAGCACCGCCUUUUUUUGUAUCGUUACCGAGUAGUGGUUUACUGGUCUGAACUGAGUCAGACCAAACCAAAUCGAGCCGCCUUACCGGCAUGUGGAUUGUUGUCUAGUUAAUAGUAGACAGAUAAGUAAGAAUGGUUGAGUUUUAUUUUUAACAUGGUAUCAUCCCAGUCAUCUAGGACAUUGUUCAUGAGUCACAUUUGUUGGAUUUGGAGACAAACCGGUCCGGGUUGGGGUUGUUCUUCUAUGAUUCAUAAAACAGAACAAAUCUAAUUGAUGAACUACGAUGAAUUCUUCAAUUCGUUUGAACUCCGGCGGGGAGGAGUACCGUGGAGUUCUUCCUUUUGUUCUCCGCAAACCUUUUACAGCUCACGAAUCUCCCGCCGAUGGUUAAACGGACCUCAUCUUCGCCGUUUAGUAUCAACGCCGGUACAUAGGAAGCCGUGAAAUGAAUCUUCCCGAAUAACGGAGGCGCGUGUACGUACACCCUCUCGACGCACGGUCCAAAUCUCUUGCAUGCAUGCACGCGUCAACGUAUGGAAUGUAAAUUAAAUCAUCUGAACACCUUCAAAACCAUUUUUAUAAAUAAUUAAUGAUUUAAAUGCCAUUCUAUGAACUUAAAAAAUGCAUUGAAUUUUAGUCCUUUUUACCAAGCCUACGCUUUGUCAAAAAAAUAACUUUUUGAAUAUGGUUUUUAGAACCUUUACUGACCUAAUAAUAUGCGGUUGAAUCGCUUAAAACGUUAUAACUCAUAAUUAAAUCAUGAUUGAGACAUGAAUAAAUCAUAGUAUACAACAGUGCAUUUGUUAUCGAGUUGAAUUCAAUUAAAAUAUAUGUAAAUAAUCUUAAGGUGGUAGCAUUGCUUGAAAUAAAAUUUAGUACAUUUUAUAUAUUUUUUCUUAUUUGAAAAAUAAUUAUUUAUUGAACCAAUCACAAAUUACAUUUUUAACAAAUCUGUUAUGUACAACUUGCAUUGCAUUCCUCUUUUNNNNNNNNNNNNNNNNNNNNNNNNNNNNNNNNNNNNNNNNNNNNNNNNNNNNNNNNNNNNNNNNNNNNNNNNNNNNNNNNNNNNNNNNNNNNNNNNNNNNNNNNNNNNNNNNNNNNNNNNNNNNNNNNNNNNNNNNNNNNNNNNNNNNNNNNNNNNNNNNNNNNNNNNNNNNNNNNNNNNNNNNNNNNNNNNNNNNNNNNNNNNNNNNNNNNNNNNNNNNNNNNNNNNNNNNNNNNNNNNNNNNNNNNNNNNNNNNNNNNNNNNNNNNNNNNNNNNNNNNNNNNNNNNNNNNNNNNNNNNNNNNNNNNNNNNNNNNNNNNNNNNNNNNNNNNNNNNNNNNNNNNNNNNNNNNNNNNNNNNNNNNNNNNNNNNNNNNNNNNNNNNNNNNNNNNNNNNNNNNNNNNNNNNNNNNNNNNNNNNNNNNNNNNNNNNNNNUAGGGACUCCUAACGACUCAUAUAUCUCACAACUAAACAAAAGAUUAUUAUUAGGUGAGUACGUAAAACUCAAAUCCAAUAGUAUAACUCACAAACUCAAUUGACCUGACCGUUUUGACAUAAAAAAAUUUGAUUUACUAACCUUCGACAAAUGAACUCCAUGAUUUAAUUAAUCUUCGAUGAAUACGUUAAGAACAUGUCGUUAUUAUUUAAUAACCCAUUCAAACUCAAAAUUACAAUUAGAGCCCAAGAAACUAAGUCAAUCCAAUCUAGACUCAACCUGAUCAAUAAUUAAAAUUGAUUAAAAAGUCAAUAAUUCAAUACUAGCCAAACCGAAAGAUAUAUUCAACCGACGAAACUUAAUCGCUAACGUCAAAUUAACUUAUAAUCUAACCAAUUAAAACCCUUACAAACCCGAUAAAUUCUAAAAUCGUAACCCAAUGAACCCACAUGCUGGACAGCUCUAAUUACGAUCAUGUAUCCGGACAUAGACACCUAAUCUACCAAGUUAAAUACCCCAUCGAACAAAUCUCCCAAACAUUUCCAACAAGAAACAACGCAUCACCAUUCAUCACCUUUUUCCUCUCCACUACUUACUAUGCUACGACGUCGUCUAGCCACCAACCACAACCUCCGCCGCCGGUGACGAACCAUCAUGGGGUGCAUCCAAUCAAGCAAGCGGCGGCGGAAGCAGCCGCUGGCGUGGGGUCCCACUACUCUGCCGUCCAACCAUGAGAAAGAAGGUAGCAAGAAUAGUAAGGAUCACUUGGAUAAUGUUGUUAAGGUGGCGGUGGAGGGGGCGACGGCGGUUGGCGGCGGAGGCGGCGGGAAGAAGGGUCAGAAAGUGGUGUUGAAGAAAAUCGGUACGGAUGAUUACGUGGAUGGUUGGCCGAAGUGGCUUGUUGAUAAUAUACCGAAAGAUGUGUUGGUUGGUUUGGUGCCCAAAAGUGCUGAUUCUUAUGAUAAGCUUGCCAAGGUUAGUUUGUCUAUGAACUUUUUGAAUGGAACUUUUCAUAAUUUUGGAUGGUGUUACGUUAGGAUAUCAGAGUUUAUAAAUAAAAAUUAAUUAAAGUUGUUUGAAAUUGUAAUGUUUCUGGAAAUUUAUAUAUAAUAUUUAAAAGUUUCGAAACUGAUAUAUAACUCUACUAAAAAAUAUAGAACUUAUUAUUAAGUAUUUAACCACAACUCUUUAUAUGGUUGGGUAUUAUUUUAGUUGACCACAAUGUUAGAAUUCAAUAGAAAUAGGUAGGAAUGACAAUUAUAACGGUUGUUAAGUUACUAACUAGAUUUGUAAUCGACAUACAAUGCGGAAUUAGCUCAUUCCUAAUAAUCCGUUUUAUCAAGUAUUUUUAUUUUCUAGUCCAAAUGAAGUUGAGGUAGUGGUGAAGUUAUGUAUUAGCAGCCUGCAAGUCUUGAGUUCAAAUUCAAAACAUAUCAUCCUUAUAAUGUUUGUUUAUAUUUUUUAUAUUGAUCGAUAAAAAACUACCUGAAAAAAAAA
rnacentral:lncRNA from 1 species